rnacentral:rRNA from 1 species
GGUUAAAAAGCUCGUAGUUGGAUCUCGGCGGUCUGAGGGCGGUUCGCUUGAUUGAGUGCUACUGCUCUAUAGGCCGUGGUUUUGCCAGAGGUCUCGGGGUGCUCUUAACCGAGUGUCCUGCGAUGCUGGCAGGUUUACUUUGAAAAAAUUAGAGUGCUCAAAGCAGGCUUUUACGCCUGAAUAUUCGUGCAUGGAAUAAUAGAAUAGGAAGUCGUUUCUAUUUUGUUGGUUUUCGGAAAUCGACUUAAUGAUUAAUAGGGACAGUCGGGGGCAUUUGUAUUCAAACGACAGAGGUGAAAUUCUUGGACCGUUUGAAGACAAACUACUGCGAAAGCAUUUGCCAAGAAUGUUUUCAUUAAUCAAGAACGAAAGUUAGAGGUUCGAAGGCGAUUAGAUACCGCCCUAGUUCUAACCAUAAACGAUGCCAGCUAGCGAUCUGCCGACGUUUUCUUUGUAGACUCGGCAGGAAGCUUCCGGGAAACCAAAGCAUUUGGGUUCCAGGGGAAGUAUGGUUGCAAAAGCUGAAACUUAAAGGAAUUGACGGAAGGGCACCACCAGGAGUGGAGCCUGUGGCUUAAUUUGACUCAACACGGGAAAUCUCACCAGGCCCGGACACUGGAAGGAUUGACAGAUUGAUAGCUCUUUCUUGAUUCGGUGGGUGGUGGUGCAU